CUAUCAAAGUCAGAAACAAGACAAAGCUAAAAUAAAACUAACUACGUGAGAGGUAGGCUAGUAUAACAGAUUUAAGAAGAGGAAGGGAGUUAGUUGAGGAUAUAAUGUGGUAGAGAGAAUUAUAAUCCGAGCAUAAAACCCUAAAGGGUUCGUGUGAGGCAUAAUUCGAUCUACAUAGUGGAAGGAACAAAGGAAUAAAGUUUCUAGUGGGUCUAAUGGGAAUCGUAAAGUUUAAGCGGCUCAACACGUCAAGGGUGUCUACAUCCCCCUUGAUCAAGUUGUGCAUAAAAAUUACACCAAGCAUUUUUCUACGACUAAAUACGGAUGGAAGAUUUAUUAAAAGAAGUCUACUACGUUAGGAUGGCAGUAUCACAGUUGCAUCCCAGUUGAGGCCCCGUAGGGCAAAUAAUAAAAAGUUUUUCUGUACUGAUUCAAUACGGUCCUGAUGUAUGUUGUACACAUGAUCCGUAUUCUAAAAUCGGACGAACAUGCUAGAUAUAGAGAGUCUGCGUUAUAUAGGGGUCAUAAAAUUCCUUUGACCACCUCUUUAUAAACCCAAGCACACCCAUGGCUUUAUUUACCAUGGUUUAAAUGUGUUCAGAAAACUUUAACUUAGGGUCUAGUUUAACACCUAGAUCAUCAACCAAUGUAAUUCUCUCAAGAGAACUACCGCAGAGGGUGUAAGGAGCCAGGAAGGGGCUGGAGCGAUAAAAAGUCAUUACAUUGCACUUCGAGGCAUUAAGUUGUAACAUACUUGCACAGCACCAUGACUGAAAGCUAUUGAGAUCAGAUUGCAAGCGAGAGUCAAAUAAAAUGUCCUUAUACUGGACACAGAGCUUAACAUCAUCCGCAUACAUAAGUACUCAAGAAUUUGUUAAUACAGAAGGCCAUUAAUAAAGAGUGUGAAAAGUAAGGGGCCUAAAUGGUUACCCUAUGGUACUCCAGUAACCAUAACAGGUAAAGACAAGGAGUUUUUGAAAAGGGCCCUUUGAGACCUAGAACACAGGUAGCUGGAAUUCCAUCUCAACAGAUUGGGCGGAAACCCUAGAAGGUCGAGCUUUUGUGCAAGAAGAGAAUGGUUUACAGAAUCGAAUGCCUUACUGAAGUCAGUGUAAAUAACAUCCGUCUGCAAGUUACCUUGGAAUCCUUUAAUGACAAGGGAGGUGAACUCUAAAAGAUUAGUAGUUGUUGAUCGUCGCCGUAUAAUUCCGUGCUGAGCUGGAGAUAUAAGUGAUUUGCAGAGAUAUAUAUUAGAACAUAUUAGGAAUAGCGGAUAACUUAGAUAUACCACUAUAGUUUUUAGCGUCGACUUGCUACCUUUCUUAUGGAGAGGAAUUAUAAAGGAUUCCUUCCAGAUGGGGGGGAAAGCUAAAAGAAUGGAUGGAUAGAGUGAAUAGUUUAAGCAAAGGUCCGCACAGAGACUCGGCACAGUACCUAAGUACACAGUCGGGAACUCCGUCAGGGCCCGGUGAAAAUACCGGCUUAACUAAUUAAAGUUCAUGAAUUAAGGAGCCUUCAUUAAACAAAGGGCAGAAAAUGCCAUUGUACCUUGUAAACUAUAUGGAUACAUAUGACCUGGGUAGCUUUCCUGGGAAUAGGUGGUUUGAAAAAAUUGUGUGAAGAAAUUGCUUAAUACGAAGUUCCGCUUAUACACUUCCUGUCCUGGUAAGUACCGGAUCUCUCUCGCUUUUCGAUCAUACUGAUCCUUUGAUCUCUUUUAGGCCUCAUGCGCAUUCUUCCGGACCUCAUCGCGGAUGAUCUCCUGCUGGUCUUGCCUUGCCACAAGUAAUACUUGCGCGUCGUUAAGGGCUCCCAGUUUCCUUUCUAAUUUGUAGUCCCGCCCGCUGGUGAACAUGUGCUGCCCGAACAGCACGAAGUAUGGCGACGUGCCAAUAGCUGUGUGUAUCGCACUCCUGGCCGCACCCUGUAUCUCCGGCAACUUCUCAUCCCAGCGUGUGUGAUCUUCGCUGACAUAAGUCCGGAUUGCUGCGGGAAUGGUCUGAUUCACGCGUUCUGCCGCGUUCGCCUGUGGUGCAUAAUUCCCAGAUUUCAUGUGAGUUAUACUUCUUUUGGUCAAGAAGUGUGUAAACUCGGCUGAUACAAACUGCUUUCCGUUGUCUGUGUUGUAACGGACACGGGAAGUGUCGUCUCGUCAGCACUCUCUGUCUACUAAAAGUUUGCCGGCUAGGCUCAGGGAAAAUGGGGUGGGUGGUGUGCUGCGAAAACGAACUCCGUCACCUAACAAAAUCGUAGACAGAUUUACGGGAACUGGGAUCGGA
rnacentral:lncRNA from 1 species